UACGUAGGGCGCAAGCGUUGUCCGGAAUUAUUGGGCGUAAAGAGCUCGUAGGCGGUUUGUCGCGUCGGAUGUGAAAGCCCGGGGCUUAACCCCCGGGUCUGCAUUCGAUACGGGCAGACUAGAGUGUGGUAGGGGAGAUCGGAAUUCCUGGUGUAGCGGUGAAAUGCGCAGAUAUCAGGAGGAACACCGGUGGCGAAGGCGGGUCUCUGGGCCGAUACUGACGCUGAGGAGCGAAAGCAUGGGUAGCGAACAGG
rnacentral:rRNA from 1 species